AAACUUUUUCAAAAGAAAAGAAAAACUCUUUUUUUUUAUCAGUUUAAUAUCUGAUACGUCCUCUAUACGAGAACAACAUAUUAAAGUGAUUUUUAGAACUGGGAGCCGAAAAAGGGGCUUGCUCCGUUCGCUCCACGCAUCGACCCGGCAUUGCAGUGCCGCCAGGUACGGUGCAACCUUC
rnacentral:snRNA from 1 species